UCCCUGGUGGUCCAGUGGUUAGGACUUCAGCUUCCAAUGCAGGGGAUGCAAGUUCAAUCCCUGGUCGGGGAG
rfam:TPA: Bos taurus chromosome 13, whole genome shotgun sequence.